UAUAUAUGAAAAGGGAGCUAACACUGGUUGGCUGAGAGUAAACGAAUGUUUUGACCUAGAACCUGAUUUGGAUAAUGCCAACGUAGGGAUGCAUAAUAGAGAACAG
rnacentral:ncRNA from 2 species